UAGUCUACAUAAUGAGUUCCAGGC
rnacentral:misc_RNA from 1 species